rnacentral:rRNA from 1 species
UGUUAGCGGCGGACGGGUGAGUAACACGUGGGUAACCUGCCUGUAAGACUGGGAUAACUCCGGGAAACCGGGGCUAAUACCGGAUGGUUGUCUGAACCGCAUGGUUCAGACAUAAAAGGUGGCUUCGGCUACCACUUACAGAUGGACCCGCGGCGCAUUAGCUAGUUGGUGAGGUAACGGCUCACCAAGGCGACGAUGCGUAGCCGACCUGAGAGGGUGAUCGGCCACACUGGGACUGAGACACGGCCCAGACUCCUACGGGAGGCAGCAGUAGGGAAUCUUCCGCAAUGGACGAAAGUCUGACGGAGCAACGCCGCGUGAGUGAUGAAGGUUUUCGGAUCGUAAAGCUCUGUUGUUAGGGAAGAACAAGUGCCGUUCAAAUAGGGCGGCACCUUGACGGUACCUAACCAGAAAGCCACGGCUAACUACGUGCCAGCAGCCGCGGUAAUACGUAGGUGGCAAGCGUUGUCCGGAAUUAUUGGGCGUAAAGGGCUCGCAGGCGGUUUCUUAAGUCUGAUGUGAAAGCCCCCGGCUCAACCGGGGAGGGUCAUUGGAAACUGGGGAACUUGAGUGCAGAAGAGGAGAGUGGAAUUCCACGUGUAGCGGUGAAAUGCGUACAGAUGUGGAGGAACACCAGUGGCGAAGGCGACUCUCUGGUCUGUAACUGACGCUGAGGAGCGAAAGCGUGGGGAGCGAACACGAUUAGAUACCCUGGGAGUCCACGCCGCAUACGAUGAGUGCUAAAUGUUAAGGGGUUUGCGCCCCUUAGU